GCCAGAUAAUACAUAUGUUAAGGCUUUGAAGGCUAUUCAGUCUCUGUGACAUCUACUCAACAAAGUCAUUGUAGUAGAAAAGCAGAGGACAUGGCCAUGUUCCAGUAAAACAUCAUUUACAAAAACAAGUAACAGCCCAUAUUUGGCCAGUGGGUUAUAUUUUGCUGACUCCGUGUUUCAGAAAAUGGCAGUUUCAAUAUUACAUGACACUUGUUACCUAUUUGUCAUUUACUUACCUCAUGAUUAUCUCUAAUGAUUUCAUGUUAUAUAUGAAGUUGCUUACAUUUUUGGCUAGUAUUUGAAAGAAUUUUUAUAGCCUUAAAAGUGUUUAUCAAAAUGUCCCUUACAGAUCAUUUACCUAAAUACCUCAAAGAAAUGAUAAACAGAAAAAAUGCAUUCAUGACAUAAUAGAGAUCAGCUCUUUCUAUCCCAAGCUAAAACAAUAAUAACUUGUGAAUCACUACUUAGUAAAAGUUGUAUAUCUGUGUAAAAUGUUGUAUAAAUUUUCAUGUAUAUAGGUCCUAAGGAUUUUUCUCUUAGAGGGCUAUUUUAAGGGAGGUUGCUUUUUAGUGGAUGUUGGAUUUCUAAUUGUAUUUGGAUUAAUCUGAAUCCUGAAAAUAAAAGAUUGUGCCAGACUAGGUAAGGAGAAUCCAUGUACACAGGCCCCUCUUCAGUCCUGUCUGCCAUCUCUAACUUAUUGAACUUGAGAAAUUCUAGCAGAUAUUUAAUAGAGAAUACAUACUCAGCAUGCUGUGUUGUAAGAUAAGCAAUCACUAAGAGAUACAUUUCAGUGAUGGGGGGAAAAUAACACAGACAUACAUAAAUGUCUCUCUUAGACCAUUCCUAUGUCUUUCCUAACAAUGAUUCCAUUAUCAGAUAAUCUCUCAGAUAGUGAUGCCUAUAAUAUUGUUUAUAAAGACAUGUCCUUGUCUGUUUUCCUUUCAUCACAGGAUAAUGGAAGUAAACCAAGGAGGUAUACGUGUGGGAUUGUGUCCGGAAUUGGUGGGUUCUUGGUCUCACUGACUUCAAGAAUGAAGCCGCGGACCCUCGCGCAUGUAUUUCCUAUUCUGUCUGGUUGGCUUGCUGCUUAAAAAUCAGAAUACAGAAGAGAAGACAGUCUUGUGGAGGGUCAAAGGAGCCACUGUUUGUAGUUAUUUGGGAUCUUUGAGGAAACCCCUGCUAAAAUAACUUGAUUGGAGAUUUUCCUUAGUCUGGACCAAACCUUCCCAUUAUUGGACACAGAUGGUCAGCUAGUAAUCAAUCAUCUAUAAUUAUGCUUUGGAAAAACCUCAUGAGCAAAGACCCUCGACUUGUAGUCAAAGCUACAAUUUAUGUCAAGCAGCUCCAUUAGAUGUCUCAUUUCCCAGCCAUCAGGAGGAGGAAAGAGGGAAUGAAGAACAAGCUUCUUCCUGUGGGUGUGACCCAGAGGUUGUUCGUGUCACUUCUAUUCACAUUUGCUUGUGUAGAACUUACACAAUCAUACUUAACUUCAAGAAAGAUUGGGCAACAUAGUUUAUAGCGGGGAGGAUUUAUGCCCUGAAAUUGAUGGUGUCAUCUUUUCAUCUUCCCUCUCUCACCAUUAGCAUGUAAUCUGUAACUGAAUUUGAACAAUCCAACUUCCAAAUGAUUUCCAUUUUUCUCCAUAUUCCUAACAACACUUUAGUCUAAAGCGUCCUCAUCCUUGCCUAGUUUACUACAAUAACCUAAUUGGUCAGCGUGCUUCCAUUCUUGCCCCACCAAGUCAUUUCUGACACCGUGGCCGCUAAUUCUUAAGAAUAGAAACCAAAUCAUCACUCUUCUUUAAGGCCUUUAGUGUCUAUUUCCAUAGAAUAAAAUCCAUACCCUGCACCAUGAGCCGUAAGACCUGGCAAUGACCUGGCUCUAGUGUACCCAGUGCUAUCCUUGCACCAUGCUUUCCACCAGUCACUAUGUUCUGGCUUCUCUGGCCUCCACCUUUUUCUAGAACACAUUGAUCCUUUCCCCACCUCAGGCCCUUAUCCCUGCUAUUCUUCAUCCUGUAAAACUUUUGCUGGGAUCUCCGCGUGGCUGGCUCGCCCUCAUCUCUUGGCACUCAGCACAAAUGUCAUCUAUUUUGAGAAUCUUUCCUGACUGCCCUUUGUAAAGCAGCAUGUCUUGUUCCCAGUGACUCUUUAUUGCAUUACUUUAUUUAUUUUCUUCAUAGCAUUUAUUAAAUUAUAUAAUAAUCCUGUUUAUUUGAUUAUUUAAUUUUCUCCUUUCAUUAGAAAAUAAUCCUUAGGAGGGCAGUUUCUUUGGCUUAUCCUGAUUCUCAGACUCUGGCACAUAAAAGGAACUCAACAGAUUGCUAUUGAAUGAGUGAUUAAAUGAGUUAGGUACACUUUAUAUAUUUCUUACAAUAAGAAUCUGGUGCCCACUGUGGGAAAACCAGGUAAAAGGAACCUUACACAGAUUUGCCUCCACUAGCUUUACUU
rnacentral:lncRNA from 10 species